UGUAGUCAUAUGCUUGUCUCAAAGAUUAAGCCAUGCAUGUCUAAGUAUAAGCAAUUAUACCGUGAAACUGCGAAUGGCUCAUUAAAUCAGUUAUCGUUUAUUUGAUAAUACCUUACUACUUGGAUAACCGUGGUAAUUCUAGAGCUAAUACAUGCUGAAAAUCCCGACUUCGGAAGGGAUGUGUUUAUUAGAUAAAAAACCAAUGCCCUUCGGGGCUUUUUGGUGAUUCAUGAUAACUUUACGGAUCGCAUAGCCUUGCGCUGGCGACGGUUCAUUCAAAUUUCUGCCCUAUCAACUUUCGAUGGUAAGGUAUUGGCUUACCAUGGUUUCAACGGGUAACGGGGAAUUAGGGUUCGAUUCCGGAGAGGGAGCCUGAGAAACGGCUACCACAUCCAAGGAAGGCAGCAGGCGCGCAAAUUACCCAAUCCCGACACGGGGAGGUAGUGACAAUAAAUACUGAUACAGGGCUCUUUUGGGUCUUGUAAUUGGAAUGAGUACAAUUUAAACCUCUUAACGAGGAACAAUUGGAGGGCAAGUCUGGUGCCAGCAGCCGCGGUAAUUCCAGCUCCAAUAGCGUAUAUUAAAGUUGUUGCAGUUAAAAAGCUCGUAGUUGAAACUUGGGCCUGGCUGGCGGGUCCGCCUCACCGCGUGCACUCGUCCGGCCGGGCCUUCCUUCUGAAGAACCUCAUGCCCUUCACUGGGCGUGUUGGGGAAUCAGGACUUUUACUUUGAAAAAAUUAGAGUGUUCAAAGCAGGCCUUUGCUCGAAUACGUUAGCAUGGAAUAAUAAAAUAGGGCGUGCGUUUCUAUUUUGUUGGUUUCUAGAGACGCCGCAAUGAUUAACAGGAACAGUCGGGGGCAUCAGUAUUCAGUUGUCAGAGGUGAAAUUCUUGGAUUUACUGAAGACUAACUACUGCGAAAGCAUUUGCCAAGGAUGUUUUCAUUAAUCAGUGAACGAAAGUUAGGGGAUCGAAGACGAUCAGAUACCGUCGUAGUCUUAACCGUAAACUAUGCCGACUAGGGAUCGGGCGAUGUUCUUUUUCUGACUCGCUCGGCACCUUACGAGAAAUCAAAGUUUUUGGGUUCUGGGGGGAUUAUGGUCGCAAGGCUGAAACUUAAAGGAAUUGACGGAAGA
rnacentral:rRNA from 1 species